AAUUUUAGCUGUCAUUUGUAAAUGUACCCAUUAAUCAAUAUCAUGAUUUUUAUAUUGACAUAUCAAAGCAUGUGAUUAUUUUAUCAUUGUUGGAUAUGAUUUUCCAUUGCAUGGAUGCCGCAAACCAAAUUGUUAUGAAUGGAAUGGAAAAAGAAUUAUAUAUUGUAUUGACCUCUUAAAAACAUUUUUAAAAAGUUUUAUUGCUUUCUUCUUUACAAGCUCCUUUAAAUGUUCCAUUUUUUAUGUAAUUGGACAAAAAAUCAAUCAGUAUGUUGCAAUGUGAAUAAUAUGAAAUGCUUCAUAAACCUUUCAACUUUUUUAUCAUUUGCUAAAUUAGAUUUAUGUAAUAAUCAUUUAUUAAAAUGCUAAUUUUUAUAUACAGGUAUAUCAAUUUUCUCACCCCCUUCACCCUACACAAAAUUAAAACAAGCUUCACUGAGAAGGAAUUUUCUUUUAAAAGAAUGUGAUUAAAAAUCAAGGGGAAUAACUUUUAUGAUGUUGCUAUAGAAUGUGCCAUUUUUCGACGAUAUCUUCAAGUGCAACAAAUUAAUUAUUCUUCCAAUAUUUGUCUGUAUAUAAUAUAUCAAUGUACAUUUGUACCUAGAAGUCUUUGUACUCUUUUUGUAACAAACAAAUAAUAAACAUGAACAUGC
rnacentral:misc_RNA from 1 species